rnacentral:rRNA from 1 species
AUACGUAGGUGACAAGCGUUAUCCGGAUUUACUGGGCGUAAAGGGCGUGUAGGCGGUCUUGCAAGUCAGAAGUGAAAUUCCUGAGCUCAACUCGGGCGCUGCUUCUGAAACUGCAGGACUUGAGUGCUGGAGGGGAUAGCGGAAUUCCUAGUGGAGCGGUAAAAUGCGCAGAUAUUAGGAAGAACACCGGUGGCGAAGGCGGCUAUCUGGACAGUAACUGACGCUGAGGCGCGAAAGCUUGGGGAGCAAACAGGAUUAGAUCCCCGGGUAGUCCACGCCGUAAACGAUGAAUACUAGGUGUAGGGGGUAUCGACUCCCUCUGUGCCGCAGUUAACACAAUAAGUAUUCCGCCUGGGGAGUACGGCCGCAAGGUUGAAACUCAAAUGAAUUGACGGGG